rnacentral:tRNA from 1 species
CGCCUGGAGGACUAGUGGUUAGGCCUCGAUGCUCUCACCACUGCAGCCAGGGUUUGAUUCCCAGCCAGGGAA